GCCAUGCCGCGUGUGUGAAGAAGGCCUUCGGGUUGUAAAGCACUUUCAGUCGUGAGGAAGGCGGUGUAGUUAAUAGCUGCAUCGUUUGACGUUAGCGACAGAAGAAGCACCGGCUAACUCCGUGCCAGCAGCCGCGGUAAUACGGAGGGUGCGAGCGUUAAUCGGAAUUACUGGGCGUAAAGCGCAUGCAGGUGGUUUGUUAAGUCAGAUGUGAAAGCCCGGGGCUCAACCUCGGAAUUGCAUUUGAAACUGGCAGACUAGAGUACUGUAGAGGGGGGUAGAAUUUCAGGUGUAGCGGUGAAAUGCGUAGAGAUCUGAAGGAAUACCGGUGGCGAAGGCGGCCCCCUGGACAGAUACUGACACUCAGAUGCGAAAGCGUGGGGAGCAAACAGGAUUAGAUACCCUGGUAGUCCACGCCGUAAACGAUGUCUACUUGGAGGUUGUGGCCUUGAGCCGUGGCUUUCGGAGCUAACGCGUUAAGUAGACCGCCUGGGGAGUACGGUCGCAAGAUUAAAACUCAAAUGAAUUGACGGGGGCCCGCACAAGCGGUGGAGCAUGUGGUUUAAUUCGAUGCAACGCGAAGAACCUUACCUACUCUUGACAUCCAGAGAACUUUCCAGAGAUGGAUUGGUGCCUUCGGGAACUCUGAGACAGGUGCUGCAUGGCUGUCGUCAGCUCGUGUUGUGAAAUGUUGGGUUAAGUCCCGCAACGAGCGCAACCCUUAUCCUUGUUUGCCAGCGAGUAAUGUCGGGAACUCCAGGGAGACUGCCGGUGAUAAACCGGAGGAAGGUGGGGACGACGUCAAGUCAUCAUGGCCCUUACGAGUAGGGCUACACACGUGCUACAAUGGCGCAUACAGAGGGCGGCCAACUUGCGAAAGUGAGCGAAUCCCAAAAAGUGCGUCGUAGUCCGGAUUGGAGUCUGCAACUCGACUCCAUGAAGUCGGAAUCGCUAGUAAUCGUGGAUCAGAAUGCCACGGUGAAUACGUUCCCGGGCCUUGUACACACCGCCCGUCACACCAUGGGAGUGGGCUGCAAAAGAAGUAGGUAGUUUAACCUUCGGGGGGACGCUUACCACUUUGUGGUUCAUGACUGGGGUGAAGUCGUAACAAGGUAGCGCUAGGGGAACCUGGCGCUGGAUCACCUCCUUAAACGAUGAU
rnacentral:rRNA from 1 species